rnacentral:sRNA from 1 species
GUUGGGCACAGUGACAUGUGCCUCUAGCCCCAACUGCUUAGGAGGCUGAGGCAGAAGGGUUGCUUGAGCCUAGAAGUUUGGGGCCAGCCUAGGCAACAUAGUAAGACCUAUCAUUUU